GGUCGCUGCGGAGCCGGGACCACCUUGACACGGCAGAGGUCACAGGUUCGAAUCCUGUAUCGCCCACCA
rnacentral:tRNA from 1 species